rnacentral:antisense_RNA from 1 species
GGGGCUUGCAGGGGUGCCCGGGUGGGGGGCUGCAGGCGGGAGUGAGCAAACGUGCUGUCUCGCCACCUUGGGACAGGUGGUAGGGCCUCUGACAAAGAGUGGUCCUUCCUGCUGUUCACAGCUCAGCUCACCAUGGGCUGACCAUAGAUUCUUGUUGAAAUCCUAACCCCCAAGGCAAUGAUGUUAGGAGGCGGGGCCUCUGGGAGAUGGCGAGGUCAUGAGGCUGCAGCUCUCUUGAGUGGGGUCAGUAUCCUUCUACAAGCGGCUCCAGGGAGGUCCCUUGCCCCUUCCACCAUGUGAGGACCCGAGAUGGUGCCGUCUAUGAACCAGGAAGUGAGUCCUCUCUGCACGUGGAACGAGCUGGUGCCUUGAUUUUGAACUUGCAGCCUCCAGCUUCGUGGGGUUUAAGUACAAUGAUGCUGCAUUGUACUGUGUGAAGUCAGGGCCUUCUGUGCAUCUGUCGAGGGUGCAAUGCACACGGCACCCCCGAGCAGCCACCCAUCCUCCUUUCCCUCCACCCUGCGAGGCCCCGUUGUCCAUCUGUCCACACUGCUCCACGAGCACACGUGACUUAGCUCCCCCUUGUGAGCCGCUGCUUGGGGUGAGCAUGCUUCCUGCUGGAUGCUUCUCUAUGUAAGCACCUGCCUGAGUGUCAGCCCUCUUAAGGUG